GAUGAACGCUGGCGGCGUGCUUAACACAUGCAAGUCGAACGGGAACAUUUUAUUGAAGCUUCGGCAGAUUUAGUUUGUUCUAGUGGCGGACGGGUGAGUAACGCGUGGGUAACCUGCCUCACACUGGGGGAUAACAGUCAGAAAUGACUGCUAAUACCGCAUAAGCGCACGGAACCGCAUGGUUUUGUGUGAAAAACUCCGGUGGUGUGAGAUGGACCCCGCGUUGAUUAGCCAGUGGCAGGUAGCGCCUACCAAGCGACGAUCCAUAGCCGGCCUGAGAGGGUGAACGGCACAUUGGGACUGAGACACGGGCCCAGACUCCUACGGGAGGCAGCAGUGGGGAAUAUUGCACAAUGGGGGAAACCCUGAUGCAGCGACGCCGCG
rnacentral:rRNA from 1 species